rnacentral:rRNA from 1 species
GAUGAACGCUGGCGGCGUGCCUAAUACAUGCAAGUCGAGCGAACAGACGAGGCGCUUGCUCCUCUGACGUUAGCGGCGGACGGGUGAGUAACACGUGGAUAACCUACCUAUAAGACUGGGAUAACUUCGGGAAACCGGAGCUAAUACCGGAUAAUAUAUUGAACCGCAUGGUUCAAUAGUGAAAGACGGUUUUGCUGUCACUUAUCGAUGGAUCCGCGCCGCAUUAGCUAGUUGUUAAGUUAACGGCUUACCAAGGCAACGAUGCGUAGCCGACGGGAGAGAGUGAUAGGCCACAUUGGAACGGGGACAGGGUCCAGACGCCUGAGGGAGGGAGCAGUAGGGAAUGGGACGCAGUGGGCGAAAGCCUGACGGAGCAACGCCGCGUGAGUGAUGAAGGUCUUCGGAUCAGAAAACUCUGUUAUGAGGGAAGAACAAAUGUGUAAGGAACUAUGCACGUCGUGACGGUACCGAAUCAGAAAGCCACGGCUAACUACGUG